UACUGCGCGAAAAAGACUUAACGUUCGACAAGGCGGCGGAGAUGGCUACAGCAUUCGAAUCAGCGAGCCGAGGCGCAGCAGGUAUUCACAACAACGGAAUAGGCCGGAUCGCGGACCAACCAGCCGUCAACUACAUUUCCGACAACAAAAAGACGAAACCGGGCGGAUCCCGAUCAUCAUGGGAUAAUCGUAAUAAUAAUCAAGUGAAAAACUUUCGAGUGCAAAGGGUUAAUAUUCUCAGGACAGUAAUUACUCGGCGAAGUUGUUUGUUAGCUAAGGGUUGCAUCUUCUCGCCGACGUCACAAUUAUGUGGGUGACGGUAAACUGUGCGAAAAGGGCGGAUGCAGCAGGUGGCGCGACAGCUGCGAAUUCGUGAAAAAGUCACGCCGGACUAGGCAGCCAAUAAGCGUCCAACAGGGAGAGGUCUCCGGAGUUGUAGUGCCAACUUUGAGCAACAACGAGGACUCGUGGAAUUAUAGAAUUGGAAAUAUUGAAGCCAAUAACACUUGUAUACAAUAUAAUUUUUGGGAUAAAUGAUUAAUGCG